rnacentral:tRNA from 1 species
GCCUGGGUGGUGAAGUGGUAGACGCAGCGGUCUCAGAUACCGCCGGCCGGAUGGCCAUGAGGGUUCGAUUCCCUCCCCAGGUA